GACGGCAGCGGAGGCACCGGGUAUCAGUGUCCCUCGAGUCUCAGGCAAGCAGUACGGGACAAGAGAGAGAGAGAGGACCAGCCGUUGUGACGGACUUGAAGCGCUCAAUCAUCUUUUGCAAUUAAGCGCAUCAAAAUGGAGGCUGUCUGGGCGGCCCUGUUUCUCCUGCUGCAGAUGACGUCUGCUUUCAGCGUAAUGGGCUAUAUUCCAUCGCAGUCCUCCAUACACUCACGCUCAAAACGUUCUGAGGGACACACUUGCAGUCCAGAACUUGUGGACAAUUUGGCCAAAACUGCAAAGGAAACUUGUUCCCAAGUGGAGGUUGUCGACAAUCAUAUUAGCAACAUCCAGGCCAGACAAGAAGUGCCAGUUCCAUCUUUCGCUGACCGCCAUGGCUUCAAAGCCAUCCUCGGUCAGUACAACGGAGACCUCAAGACGGCGCAAGGACACUGCCACCUUUGGAGGGAUGGUGACAAUGUUGUUGCUUCUCUGAAGCAGGUGGUCGUAGCUGCACAGGAAUUUGAGCCUAAGUUCAUUGCAGAGUUGGAUAGGAAUCAGUCCAGGAUUAAGAAUAUUCUCGAAAAUCGCAAGGAUAUUGUAACAAUGGAAGCUACAGUUGCUGUAUUGCAAAAGUCUGUAUCAGAGGCUAAAGAGGCUAUCAAGGCUACCAAAUUUCAAGAAUUAAUUUCAUAUCUCGAAAAUGUUAUCAGAACCAAAGAAGAGGAAAUCAACACCACGAUGACUGAACAUAAAGCCCUAGUAAGACUUCCACUCGCUGAACUUGUGGAAUAUCUUGAAUUUGUGAAGGCCGGAGCUGUGGAUAUUGGAACCAAAGCUAACGCUGCCAAUACCAAGAUCACCAGCUUUAGAGAAAAUCUCAUUAGGGAUGCCGGUGCCUUUAAGAGACAUCGCACAAACGCCCAAGAUGGAAUUGCUAAGCUACACCAAGAUAAACAAAACAACAAAAAUAUUAUCAAGAGCGUCCAACAAAGCAUCAACAACUUGAGAGGAAGCAUCGACCAGGAAAACGCCCAGAUCGCCUCCCUUCAUGCUCAGAUUGCGCAGGCGCAGAGUGAGAUCAGGAAAAUUGAAGAUAUCAUAGGAAGACUCCCGAAGGGGACUGGUCUAUUCCAUAACUUACUCAGGAAAGCCAAGGAACAUUACGCCCGACUGGCCGACGAAAGCAGACAUCUCGUUGCUGAGGCCAAUCGUCAGCUCCAGAACCUCCAGGCUCAUAUCGCUUCACGUAACCAGGAGAUCAAUCGCCAUCAGCAGCAAAUCAACAGCCUUGAAGCCAAAAACCGAGAACUUGAACAGGAACUGCAGCACUUCAGUCAGCUCGACGAGAAUCUUCGCAGCCUUGAAGGUGAGGUCAACGCCAUCCUGCCUUCCAUCGCAAGUGCUGUCAGUGGAGUCGGGAAGAUGAAGGAAAACUUCGACUCCAUUCAGCAAAACUUAGGAAGCGCCAUUGCUCGAGCAAAGGAAGCCAAAACGGAAGCUGAAAUAAAAAAUGUGCGGUACUUCAUCUACAAUGAAAUCGAUGACAUCAAAUGCAGCUGGGAGAAUGCAAGGAAUAUAAUUGUUUUAGUUGGUAAAUGUAACUGAUAGCUUGUAUUUCUAUGAUUUCAGUAUUAAUUACCUUAUAAAUAUUAUUUAUAUCAUAAAGAUAAUAGAUACUGAAUAUAAGUUUUUUUUAGUGUACCAUAACGCUUACGGUAUAUUAAUCUUAAUAUCAUGAGAUGAUUCGUGCCAUGGCCAGUAUUCAUCAUUAACUACGUCUUUGCUUUAUAAUAUAUAAUAUGAUACAUUAUCGACCAUGCAUCGAACUGAUUUCAUUCACUGAAUACUUUAUAUUUGAGACUGAGAUGUUAUGGUUAUCAAGUGUCAGUAUUAAGCUCUGAAAAUUUAAAAAUCAAGAUUUUUUUCAGAAAUCAAAGUCUAAUUGACCCUGAAGUUGUUCCUUUUGAUUUGCAGUCUAUGAAAAAGUUUUUUAUCAGCGAAUGACAAAGGAUUAAAGACGCUCUCAGGCGGAUGAAUUCGAUAUGAAAUAGAUAUAAGCAAUAAUUGGGUACAUGGGCUUCCUUUACGAAUGUUUUUUGGAGUUUGAAAAAUGAAUAAUUUGGUGGGUAGACCUUCUAUGUGCAAAAUUAUGUUAAUUUCCAUAAAAAGAAUAAAAAAGACUGAACCUCCUCACAAAUAUUUUUUCAUUUAUGUUUUAUUCUAGUCUUUAAGAGUUUCAUCUAUUUUGGUCUAGAUCAGUGGUUCCCAAACUUUUUUCUGUCAUUUCCCCCUACACCCAGUUCAACCUUCUGGUGAUUUCCCCCGUCAUGUGUAUGAGGGAAAGAGUAGUUAAAACACACUGUGACUAUUUACUAAUUUAUUUUUCAAAUGUACAAAUAUACUGAUAAACAUAUAGUUACAGAGUGAAGUGGAUAGAAAGCGGUUAGUAACAACUAACCGCAUAGCCAUAGAGAGCGGUUAGUAACAACAUGAGAAAAUCCAUCUGAGAUAUUUUCAGUUAGUAGGUAGUGUAAUUAUUUCCUCCCUAGUAGCUUCAAAUUUUCCCCCAGGGGGAAAUUUACCCCAGUUUGGGAACCACUGGUCUAGAUCAUCGGAAAUGCGAAACAAAUCACUGUCAGUCUUGACAGAGAUCUAGGUCGGUUCAAAAAGUGGUGUAGUCCAAGGCAUAAGAAACUAGAUUUAACAAAAAUGUCCCUAAAUAGCCCAUCUUAUAUUGGUGCCUGAAUAUAUAUCAAUAUCUAAUGCUUAUUACGAUUACCAGGUCAUUUCUUUCUCUGGAUUCUUGAAUAGUCUUCAUUUACCAGAAUGUAUCCUACCAAGAUCUUCGUGUUGUAUUCAAGCUUCAUUACUCAAUUAAGACUUAAAUUAAGGGAAAGUUCCACAUGGUAGUUGUAAAACCUGCUAUGCUGUAUGGCACUGAAGCAGCAAGUAUGACAGACAGAGGAUAAAUAAAGGGAAUGUUAAGAUGGAUAUUUAUUGAAACGAGGGAGGACAGGGUUAGGAGCGAGUAUAAGAAUAAGAGGUUUAAAAAUUUUGGUGAAAUGAUCCAAGAAAGUGCAGGAUGGGAGACUGAGAUGAUACGGACACCUACUGAGAAGAGUUUAACUGCUGGGUAGAACAAGACGAGGAAGACCAAGAAACAUUCUGACCUCGAGUUAAAGAAGCCAGAUCUCCUACUAAAAGAAAGAAAGAAAGAAAGAAAGAAAAAAAGAAAGAAAGGAAGAAAGAAAGAGGAAGAAGAAGAAGAAGAAGACGAAGAAGAAGAGGACGGCGGAGAGACUGUGUCAGGGAGGACUUGAGAGAGAAGCGACUUCACCAAGCAGAAGAUUACCACAGUGGUAGAUGGGAGUGGAUCAUCCUAAACGACGACCCCGUACAGAAGCCGAAUCUUGCAGAUGAAGAUUCUAAUAUUAGCACCAAAUUUAUUAUGGAAAUGUCUUAUUGCUCUUAGCAAAUACCCUUCUAAAUUAUAUAUGAUCAGUACACUUUAUACACAUCAAUAUAAUACUGUAUAUCCUUCAAAACAAUAAUAAUGUAUUCUCACUCAUAACAGGUAUUUCUGCAGUAUUUAUUCUAAACUGUCGAGUCUAAUCUAUAUAAUGCCUAUCAGAUGCAUUUGUGGAAGUUUUUUUUUCACAGAUCUUUCUAAUUCUUCCCCUACUUUCUUCAAUAUAUCUUCAUUGUCCCCAUACAACGUUGUAUCAUCUUUUAUCAUCAAAUACUCCUCAUUCUGUUUAUGAUCUAUUUAAUUUAAUGCAGCAGCCUUGCACUAACAUGGAGACAUGAAACAGCCAAGUCUUUUGUUUAACUUACUCUAAAAUAUCGUUUAAAGCUAUUAUUCUUAUCAUAUUUAGUCAACUUUGCAUUUUUAUGCUACUGUCAUUACAAUUGAAAGUAUAACUAAUUAUGAGUAUUUUGAUAGCAUAACAACGAAUAUUUUGGUGGAACUUUAUCUAAGUUUUUAUGUGACUUGUAUAAUGGUAUCAAAUGAAACAUUUGUACGAGAAACGAGUCUGAUAUAGAAAGAUUAUAUUUUCACAGUAACUGGCAGACUGUCAUAAUAUAUAACAUAGUAGAAAUCUUUAAUUUUUUUUCCAGAUUCGUUUAAUUCAAUGAAUAAUGAAAAUCCCAAAUUACAUUAGAACAUGAGACUGACUUACUAUCAUUACUGUUGCUUUGAGAACUGAAUCAGAAUAAAGAAAAGUAAACUGUAACACAUAAGAAGGUGAGAAAUGAUACAGUAAAAUCCCAGUCUCUAUGGCGUUCCCUGAAUAUGCGCUUUGUUUAACUUGGGAGCUGGGAUUAUCCCAUUCCUUCAAGGGUUUUCCCCUCGCUGCGUAUUUAAGGACGACAGCGGAGGCACUCGGCAUCAGUCUCUCUCGAGUCCGAGUGUCGUGCAGCAACAAGACGAGAGAGAGACAGGGAGAGCGAGAGGCAGACAGGACGACUAGGAACUGCGACGGACUCGAAGCGAGCCAUCAUCCUUCGUAAUGAAGCGCAUCAAAAUGGAGGCUGUCUGGGCGGCCGUGUUUCUCCUGUUGCAGAUGACGUCUGCUUUGAGCAUAAUGGGCCAUAUUCCAUCACAAUCAUCUAUACAGUCACGCUCAAAGCGUUCUGAGGGACGCACAUGCAAGCAAGAAGUUGUAGACAAUCUGGCCAAAACUGCAAAGGAAACUUGUUCCCAAGUGGAGGUUGUCGACAAAUACAUCAGCAACAUCCAGGCCAGACAACAAGUUCCGGUUCCAUCUUUCGCUGACCGCCAUGGCUUCAAAGCCAUCCUCGGUCAGUACAACGGAGACCUCAAGACGGCUCAAGGACACUGCCACCCAUGGAGGAAUGGUGACAAUGUUGUCGCUUCCCUGAAGCAAAUGGUCGUGGCUGCACAGGGAUUCGAACCGAAGUUCACUGAAGAACUUGUUAAGAAUCAAGCUAGGAUUAAGAAUCUUCUCGAAAACCACGAAGAUAUUGCAGCAGUGGAAGCCGCAGUUGCUGCAUUGCAGAAGGAUAUAGCAGAGGCUCGAGAGGCUAUCAAGGCUACAGAAGUUCAAGCAGUGAUUUCACAUCUGGAAAGUGUUGUCAGCACCAAAAGAACAAGAAAUCAACACCAUGAUGACUGAACACAACAUUACUCAAGGAAGACGCGAAUUGGCUGAACUAGUGAAAUAUCUUGAGUUUGUGAAGGCCGGAGCUGUGGAUAUUGAAAACAAAGCUAAUGCUGCCAAUACCAAGAUCACCACCUUUAGAGAAAAUAUCAUUAGAGAUGCCGGUGCCUUCAAGAGACACCGCACAAAUGCCGAAGAAGGAAUUGCUAAGCUGCAGCAAGAGAAACAGAACAACAAUAAUGCCAUCAACAGCAACCGACAAAGCAUCAACAACUUGAGAGGUAGCAUCAACCAGGAAAACUCCCAGAUCGCCUCACUUCAUGCUCAGAUUGCGCAGGCGCAGAGAGAGAUCAGGGAAAUUGAAGAUCGCAUCAACCGUAAUAUGAGGAAAGUGUCGAAGAAGAGGAGAUUCGGAAGGUGGUUCCGAUUCGUCCCAGUCGUUGGAUGGACCAUUGGAAACAAAUUCUAUAAGGAUGCCAAGCGAAGAGAAGAGCAACUGGCCAACGAAAAGAGACAUUUUGUUGCUGAGGGCAACCGUCAAAUUCAGAACCUCCAGGCCCAUAUCGCUUCACGUAACCAGGAGAUCAAUCGCCAUCAGCAGCAGAUCAACAGCCUUGAAGCCAAAAACCGAGAACUCGAACAGGAACUGCAGCACUUCAGUCAGCUCGACGGGAAUCUUCGCAGCCUUGAAGGUGAGGUCAACGCCAUCCUGCCAUCCAUCGCAAGUGCUGUCAGUGGAGUCGGGAAGAUGAAGGAAACCUUCGACUCUAUUCAGCAAAACUUAGGAAGUGCCAUUGCACGAGCUAAGGAAGCCAAAACGGAAGCUGAGAUACAAAAUAUGAGGUACUUCAUCUACAAUGAAAUCAAUGACAUCAAAUGCAAGUGGAAUAGUGCUAAGAAUAAAAUUGUUUUAGUUGGUAAGUGUAACUGAUACUUACAUUUCUGUGAUCUUUCUUCAUUAACUACUUUCUUGUUUCAUUCACCGGAGUGAUUUAAUUUAUUAAAAACUUUAUAUUUGAGACUGAGAUGUAAAGGUUAUUAUGUGUCAGUAAUAAGCUAUGAAAACAAAUAAAAAUGGAUUUUUAAAAAAA